GUGCCGCUGUUCACCACUAAAUCAUAGUUCAAAUAGCGGACCCAACCGUCAGAUAGCCACUGCAACUUUACCGCGACGCAACCUGCUGCUGACGCCGCCCGCAACCGGUGGUGGUGCCAGGACUUUUUUUUUUAAAACGCGCGCCUCCUUCCUCGCACAGGUGUGUUCUCUGUACGGAAGGGCUAUUUAGGAGGUGUGAGUGAACACGGGGAUCAAAUAUAAAUGUCCGAUGUAGUCACAGUAAGAUUGCUGAAGCUCUCAAAAUGUUUCAUUGAAAGAAAAAAAAAGACAUUAAUAUGCCAUAUCGUUGUUGUAUUUUAUGCUACUGCUUACUUUUCUUUUGUAAAAGGUGUAUUUAAGUCACGUUAUUACAUUCCUCAACCUAGAAUUGUACCCUUUAAAGAACAGCCUCCAGUGUAAUUUCUGCCAUUUGAAAUGUAACGAGGUCAAUAUAACGAUAUAAUUCUACACAACGUGAUUAAUCAAUCAGUUUGGACAUGAUGAAAAUAUAUUGACUUCCAUGGAAUGGAAACUAUUAAUUUAGUCAUUACACUAACUGACAAUAUCACAAAUCAAAGAGCUCGACAGAUUGGACAAAGGGAAUGGAUAGACUAACAGUGACCUCUGCUGGUGGCUGGAAGCAAUGGGUGACACACUUGUUACAGAACGGAGUUUAAUACGCAUAGGACUUCUGUAUGGGGUGGACUCUAACAACCUCAAGCGAGGAUUUAUCAAAAAUGACAGUCCACUUUCUGGAACACGUUUUUCUUGCUAUUUUAUUAGACGCGUAGAAAAAAAACUAAUCAAAUAGUAUACGUUGCAUAACCUACAGUAUAACCAAACAGGGCUUCAACAACACAGGUUUACAUAAUAGGCUAUAUAGUCAUUACAUAGCCUACUCGGAAGUUGCGAUCGUUUGAGAGGAACGAUGUUCAUUCAUAGGUCGCUCUGGAUAAGAUAAGUUAGAUAAGUUUGCUUCAGCAAACUGCCCCAAAAAUGUGAAAUGUAAAUCUCUUAUUCAUUCAGCAUCAAUGAUGAAUCUCAGAGGGGUUUGAUGCCGUCCGAUGAGGCAGCGAGCGGACGCCUGGAUUAAGUCCCAAACGCAACACAGCGACAGAUAGCUAAAAUGGCGUCGGAGGAAAAUAGCGCUGAUUCUCAGCAUGAGAAAUAAAUCCUCAUCAACGCGGGUUACGUUCAGGAGGUAAAGCAAGAGAGCCGAGUUGUCACUGAAAGCACCAAGGCCACACCAUCCAAACUGACAUUGUAUGAUUGGACACGGUCCUUCAAUUAUCAGAAGGUGAGUGUUUCAGCACCAUGCGGUUUCAGAAGAUCCGCCAUGGACAGCUCCUCAAGGGCAGCCUAUCAGGCGAUUGUCAGCAAGACAAAAGGAGCUGAUGGUGGACUACAGGAAACAGAUGGCUGAGCACGCUCCCAUUAACAUAGAGGGGGGCUGUACUGGAGCAAGUGGAAAGUUUGAAGUUCCUUGGUGUCCACCACAGGAGGUUGGUGACAUCUUAAUUGGGGAGGACGGGCUCGUGGUAAUGGCUGGAGCGGAAUCAGUGGAACGGUAUCACAUACAUCAAACAUCAAACUCACGGUUUCCAUGGUUUCCAUGUGUUUGAUGCCGUUCCAUUCAGUCCGUUCCAGCCAUUAUGCAUGAGCCGCCCUCCCCUCAACAGCCUCCUGUGACGUCCACAUCACUAAGGAUCUAUCAUGGUCCACACACACCAACACAGUAGUGAAAGAGGGUACAGAAACCCCAACCUCUUCCUCCUCAGGAGACUGAAGAGAUUUGGCAUGGGCCCUCAGAUCCUCAAAAAGUUCUACAGCUGCACCAUCGAGAGCAUCUUGACCGGCUGCGUCUCCACGUGGUGUGGCAACUGUUUUACAUCCGACUGCAAGGCAUUACAGAGGGUAAUGCAUACGGACCCAGUACGUCACUGGGUCCAAGUUCCCUACCAUCUAGGAGCCCUAUACCAAGCUGUGUCAGAGGAAGGCCCCCAGAAAUGGUAAAAGACUCCAGCCACUCAAGUCCUAGACUGUUCUCUCUGCUACCGAAUGCAAGCAGUACCGAUGCACCAAAUGUGGUACCAACAGGACCCUGAACAGCUUCUACCCACAAGACAUAAGACUGCUAAAUAGUUAGUUAAAUAGUUAGUUAAAUAGUUAGUUAAAUAGUUAGUUAAAUAGCUACCAGCACUAUCUGUAUUGACCCUUCUGCACUAUAUGUUUUGACUCUACCCAUGUGUUACUGUUACGGUUUAUUAUCUAUGGUGCUGCCGAGUCACUUUAUUCCUACCAACAGUAUAUGUACUAUAUCUACCUUCAUUACCUCGUACCUCUACAUAUGGACUCAGUACUGGUACCCUCAGUCGUGGUACCCCUCCUAGUUAUCAUUACUCAGUACUGGUACCCUGUGUAUAUAGCCUAGUUAUCAUUACUCAGUACUGGUACCCUGUGUAUAUAACCUAGUUAUCAUUACUCAGUACUGGUACCCUGUGUAUAUAGCCUAGUUAUCAUUACUAAUUGACUCAGUACUGGUACCCUGUGUAUAUAACCUAGUUAUCAUUACUGGUACCCUGUGUAUAUAACCUAGUUAUCAUUGACUCAGUACUGGUACCCUGUGUAUAUAUUCUAGUUAUCAUUACUCAGUACUGGUACCCUGUGUAUAUAACCUAGUUAUCAUUACUCAGUACUAGUACCCUGUGUAUAUAGCCUAGUUAUCAUUACUCAGUACUGGUACCCUGUGUAUAUAACCUAGUUAUCCAUACUCAGUACUGGUACAUAUAAUGGGGGUCCUAUGAACCCAGUUAUUACAUAUAAUGGGGGUCCUAUGAACUCUUGGCAGAAUCUUAUAUUACAUAUAUUUCACCUUGUUGCAGGUGAUUAGUUGUCUUGCUUCGAGCACAGCCUUUGUCCAAUUUGUAAUUUCUGGGCCUCUUCCCAGCUCUGUUUCCCAUAAUCUAAUCAGAGCACUUGAAUGACUUGUGUAUAGCAGCAUAACAUGAAAAAAAAUAUUUGUUACGGUCUUUUAGCUUUCAACAGGAGAUUGUCCGCUGGGGUUCGUAUUGGGUUCUGUGGGGGAGCACCAUCUUGGAUUCUAUAAAAUGUCUCACUUGCAGAUACUAUCACGACUCAUGAUAUGACCCAGAUGUAGAGACAGGACGCGGAUGUUUCAGUGCUCAGAUCAUUUAUGAUAACACAGAGGGCAGGCAAAGGGAAGGUCGAGGACAGGCAGAAAUUCAUUAACCAGGUCAGAAUCAGGCAGGUACAGAACGGCAGGCAGGCUCAGGGUCAGGCUCAGGGUCAGGGUCAGGGCAGGCAGAAAGGUCAGAAUCGGAAAAGCUAGAAACAAAAACUAGAGAGUAAGGAAAACCAGGAAACACGCUGGGACGACCUGACAAAACAGACCAACUGGCAACAGACCAACUGGCAACAGACCAACUGGCAAAAAACACAGGUAUAAGUACACAGGGGAUAAUGGGGGCAAAUGGGAGACACCUGGUGGUGUCCAUAAUGUCCAUCAUUUUUAUGAUUUUUUGUUGAAUUGCUCACCAGUUUCACCGGAAGUUGUCCCGCCAGCGGGGACAACUAGCCCUAAGAAGUUUUAAGCAGAGACGAAAAGUAAUCCUUUCUCUGAAGGUGUUUGCAAAUAUCUCUCCGGAUCUUAAAGGUACUGUUGAGAAUCGGGUUAUGUUUUCACUUCUGUGUUGACUGAGUUUCUGUCGCCAGUCAUAACCACUGAUUAAUGACUAUGUAGAUGUGAGGCAGGAGCCUGACCCAAUUAGAGCAAUGUUGAUCUCUGAGCCAUUCUGCAGUUAUGCGAGCAUGACAUGCCCAGUUAUAAAAUAGCAAAUUAGAUAGUGCCAGGCCACCUAAAUUAUAUGGUAGCUGCAGUGCGCUAAUUUUCAACCUUGGUCGUUUUCUGUACCACGUGAAGUCUGAGAGGUAUUUAUUUGAGGUCAUUAAAAGUAUUUUUCAUUAUAUAUAAUGGCACCAUCUGGAGAGGAUAAAGUCUGGGGGAAACGUUCAUUUGAAUUCAAUUAAUUCUACCCAAACGUGAUAUUGGCAGGUCCGUCCAUCUGUCUAAAGUCUUCCUUAUCUGUACAGGUGCAAAGUUGUUGUUACUCCAGUCCUCAAAGGGCCUGAUUAGUGUCACAGUUUAACCCCAGGUAGACAGAUUGUGACGUUUAAUUUUCAUGUGGUGCAUAAAUUGAUCCCUGCUGAACAACGCUCGCCGUAAAGAAAACCAGUAACAAUCACAUAGCUACCUUCAGAAUCUUUAACAAUCUGAUCCUGUGGAAAAGGUGGAUUUUUGUGGAUAAGAAUGGCAGCUCCUCUGCUUUUAAUAAACACUUUACCUAUCAA